CCUCCAGCCACUGCUGCAGUUUGACCGAGUCCUGUUGGGGCACGCAGGGGCCGGGCUGACCGGUCUGGCAAGCCCGAGCCGGUCUUGCAGAGGCCUCCAGCUGCAGCUUUAGUGUGACAGAGCGUUGUGGGGGUCCCCAGGGGCCGGUCCGACCGGUCUGGCGAGCCCGAGACGGUCCUGCAGAGGGCGCCAGCUGCGGUUUUAGUGUGCCCGAGUGCUGUGCGGGCCCGCAGGGGCCGAUCAGACCGGUCCGGCGAUCGGGACCAACUCCUUCAGCAUGCUCCAGCCACAGCUGCGGAGGUGGCCGAGUCGGGUGGGGGCACGCAGGGGUCAGGGUGACCGGUAAGGAAAGCCUGAGCCGGUCCUGUACAGGCCACCAGCCGAACCGGCAGUGAGACCAAGUCCUGCGGGGCACACAGGGGCUGGGCCGACUGUUCCGGAGAGCCCGAGCCGGUCCUGCAGAGGCCUCCAGCUGCGGCUUUAGUGUGACCAAGUGUUGUGGGGGUCCCCAGGGGCCGGUCUGACCGGUCUGGCGAGCCCGAGCCGGUCGUGCAGAGGGAGCCCGCUGCGGCUUUAGUGUGACCGAGUGCUGUGCGGGCCCGCACGGGCCGGUCUGACCGGUCCGGCGACCAGGACCGGCUCCUUCAGCAUGCUCCAGCCACAGCUGCGGAGGAGGCCGAGUCCGGUGGGGGCACGCAGGGGCCGGGCUGACCGUUCCGGAGAGCCCGAGCCGGUCCUGCAGAGGCCCAGCCGCACCUGCAGUGAGACCGAGUCCUGUGG
ensembl:lncRNA